CCUCGGUCAGAGCUGCGGCCCGCGAAGGGAGCCAGGCCUGAGGGCAGCGGCGGGCACUUGGGGGCCACCCCGCCCUGGGCAGCGCCCGCCGGCUCUCGGCUCAGUCCGGCUCAUUUCUCCCGGCCGCCUCCUCGUGCUCUGGAGCUGGGGACUCGGGGGCGGGCAGGAGAGGCCUCGCUCGCCCAGGACCUGCUCGGAGACCCUGCCCGCGUUGGUGAUCUAUCGUCGAGUCCCUAUCACAGGUCUCCUUGGGGUGAGGAAACAGCUGGGGACUAAGGAAAACUCGAGAUCCCAGCAGGGCAGAUUCGCCCUCCACCCCAGGGCCGUGUCCCUGCCUGCAGCCUGUGCCUGGAUUCCAUUUCUAGGCCGACUGGUGAGCGCCCAAGGUCCCGGAGAACGCCUGGGGUACCAGCGGCAGGUCGUGGACUUGGGUGGAGGGGGAUGCCCAGACCCCCCAUGACCGUACAGCUGCCACAGGCCACCUGCAGCUCAGACACCUCGACUGCGAAUCCGUGGAUCACGGGUCAAAUCCUUUUCACCUGUCCUCACUAAUCAAGGACGCAGAGCUGAGAUUUGCCCUCCUAUCUCCUGGCUUGGCCGCCUCGCCAACAGACCCGGGCGUCUCGGCGUUUGGCUUGCUGUGCGUCAGCCAAGAGGAACCUGGUUGGGUACUAGCUGCACAGGGACCCUGCAGCUCGGGGCCACUGACUCUGCGCCACCUCUACCAGUUUGUGGUUUUGGAAGCAUCAGAUUGCGCGCAGCAAGGCGGCUGCCUCGUUCUCAGAACUCUCCGGGCUUCUCCACACAGGCUCUGGGCUCUGGGUCGGGCCUGCGGUGCCCUUGAGCCUGACCGCCCGGGGUCACGGAGGCAGCAGAGGUCAGAUGUGUCCCCUUCUCUGUCCCGCUCACGGCCCGAGGCCCAGAGGGAAGCAGGAGGCCGCUGUACACUGGCAGGGACGGUCCUCUGCUCGCUGUCAGAGGGACGAGAACCCGGGAGACGUGCAGUACGUCCGGUGUGAUACUCCUGUCACGCCGAUGGGACGCGACACCGGGAACGGAGCCGUGAGGCCCCCGACAGCCGGGGCAGCGCAGCCUGUCUGCAGAGACCCACCUGCUUCCGUGAAGUCUCUGCACAUCCCCAGGAGAGCGGACCUUCCCUCUCUGUCCAGGACGCGAAUGGAGGCACGUUUCCCCUGCCCAGUGACGGAAAGGAGUCCAGGAGCCGCGCAGGCUGCUCUCAGGUGGGCACCGGCCCCGCGGAAGGUCCCACUGGGAAGCUGUGGGCACAUGGGGACCUAAGCAGGGCUGCCUGCGCUGCCCUCGGGAGGGGCCGGGUGCUUUGGCUGCCAUGGCUUCUCGGGACCACCAGGUCAUCAGACGUUGCCCACGGAGCGGGCGUCAUCCUGUGCUCACGUCCCAACUCGCUGCCUCGUCGGGCAGCUGUGUAACAGAAUUCUCACAGAGCAUCUCACUGCGUGGGGAAAGCAUCCGCGCCCUCCUUCCUGCGCGUCAGGACCGCCCCCCAGGGCACGAGCCCCUCCUCCCCGUCCUUCCGGGGCCCAGGGACCAGCUUUGGAGCCCGUGCCACUCUCUCCAAACGUCAGAGAGCAGACACACCUCAAGACAGCCAACAGUCACACGACGGAGCUUUGCGACCCACGUGCCUCCGUCCCGACGUGUGUGUCUAUGGGACGGGUUCUCACGCCUGCACCCUGGGCAGCCGGGCGCAACCGGUGCUGGGCGCCUGCAGCGCUGUUUCAGGCGGGGCUGCCUUCCCUAACCGGCUGACUUGGGCUGAGUCACAGAGGAGAACUGCCUCUGUCCACAGGGCCUCCUCUCCUCCCCCUGCAGCACCCACUUUCCAGCCGUGAUGGUCUCAGUGUGUCACCUUGGCCUCUAAGUUCUAGAUGCGUAACCUCAGAAGCCCUAGAGCUUUGAAACCUAAAACCAAAGCCCUACGCAGCUCAGCGGGCAGGCAGCCCAGCCUCCAAAGUCUGAAGAUAAAUUGCUCCUUCAAGUCUGGAGGACACUGGGAAAUGGAAGAGACCGGAGGCCCGGAGGCAACUAGAAGCCUGUCCAGAUUUCCGGGAGGGACGGGAAUCCGCCGACAGUGACGGGGCUGGAGCAGCGUGAACGUCUGUGCAGCCAAGUGAACGAAGCAGAUAAAUUGCUCCUUCAAGUCUGGAGGACACUGGGAAAUGGAAGAGACCGGAGGCCCGGAGGCAACUAGAAGCUUGUUCAGAUUUCCAGGAGGGACAGGAAUCCGCCGACGGUGACGGGGCUGGAGCAGCGUGAACGUCUGUGCAGCCAAGUGAACGAAGCAGGUAAAUUGCUCCUUCAAAAGUCUGGAGGACACUGGGAAAUGGAAGAGACCGGAGGCCCGGAGGCAACUAGAAGCCUGUCCAGAUUUCCGGGAGGGACAGGAAUCCGCCGACAGUGACGGGGCUGGAGCAGCGUGAACGUCUGUGCAGCCAAGUGAACGAAGCAGAUAAAUUGCUCCUUCAAAAGUCUGGAGGACACUGGGAAAUGGAAGAGACCGGGGGCCCGGAGGCAACUAGAAGCCUGUCCAGAUUUCCGGGAGGGUCGGGAAUCUGCUGACAGUGAUGGAGAUGGAGCAGCGUCAACAUCUGUGCAGCCAAGUGAACGAAGCAGGGUGUAAGAAGGAGGGCCGUAUUUCUGAAUACUUUGCAAUCAAGAUUUUGUUCCAACUUACGAAACUCUUCUGUACUUCUGGAAUUUUACAGAUUCUAAAUUAUUUCAUAUCAACACUCAUUCCACCUGUUGUACAUGAGGAGAAAAGGUCAGUUCUACAGGUAAGUAUCCCCAAGUUUGCUUAGGUUGAAAAGUAUGAACUAAAAUGUACACACAGUUUGAGAUACAAUUUGUAAAAGUGCAAGUGCCAGCAUGUGGUACAUCUGAACAAAACUGCUGUUUGGGUGUAUUUUAAGGAGCUCAACAGAUAAACGUUUCCAGUAGACAAUCAGCAUAUCAGUCACUCGUGCUGAGAGUGAAGGUGUACCCACGCGGCAGCGGCUGGGUCACUGGGAAGUUGCCACAGGUCAAGGCUUUUGAGACGGCACAGGUAAGGCUGAACGUGUUGAGCCUCACUUUAGAGUCGUGAAGUCGCAGGUGAUUUCCUUCCCGUUGGUAGGAGGCACUCCAUGGGGUUCCACCAUCAGAGCUGGGAGAACACCGGAAGUAACGAUGUCUUCAAUGUGUGUAACCAACAUCAGAGCCUUACGGGAAUGCUGAGAAUUCCUGGGAUGGGGAGGUCACUUUCUUAAUACAUGUGCUCCACUUAAACUGUGUUUAAGAAUUAAACUGUAGAGACUGUGCAGUUGGCGAGUAGACUUUGGAGUCGAUCACAACUCCUUCUAGGAAGACAUUUCAGACAUUGCUAUGGAGGCGAAUCCAGUGUUUCUGGAACACACUUGAUGGGCAGUGAUGUGAGGUCAGUGCUGAACCUGUGACAGUAUUGCUCUUGAAUAUAUUAAUAAAUGUAGUAUAUUAUAUAUUCAUACGUUAGUAAUUACUGGUAAGAUGGUAGUCUCCAGUAUACUUCUGUACCUACAACCCAACAGGAUGUGUAUUAGAACCAUACCUGGAAUAGAAGCAGGAUAUGUAUAUGGGUUUUUGUGGUAUUAAUGAUUCUGGCUGGUUGGUGCCUGCCUGUUUGUAGUAAUUGCUAAAUAUCCUGAAUGUGCCUCUGCCCAGGAAUUUAUUUAUUACCUUGACAGAAAAUGCUACCUUCCAGAAAUUAUUUCUUCAGGAGAAAAUUUACUAGAAAAUAUUUUGCCUUGAAAUUACUUAAAAUGUGAUCCAGUU